UAACGUAAAACGUGUUGCAAUUAAGGGGCCUAAAAACUCCCCUAUUAUAAAUAAGAACAUUUCGAAUUUUGUCUGUGGAAUGUUUGAUAACAUGUGGUUAAGAUAAUAGUGAAGACAGAGACAAUGAAGUGAGUAGUCUGGGGACCGAUGGGGGCGCUGGCAGUUGUAAACAAAUAUGGAGGCAAUUAGGUAACCUCGCGAAUAGAGCAGUUGAACACAUUGUUAGCGGCAAGAAUUAAUUAUUUGUAAAAUUUAUCCGAUAACUCUGCCAAAAGAACCCGAGCCUGAGCAAUGAUCGUCGUUAGUAAAUAGACUUGAUGGUCAUAAACCUGAUAAACCCGAAAAUAAAUCGGGUUUCGUUUGCUCAAAGUGAAUAAAUUAAUCAAAUGCGAUAAGCAAACCUUCAUACGGUUAUUGGGUUUUAAGCUUGUAAGUCGCCUUAUACUUUCUCUGUUGUAAAAACAGUAAUUGAAUGCUCUUUCAUGUCUUAUUAUCUAUAUUACAGGAUAAAUUCUGUUCAUACGCCAUCAUAUUGGUCGUAAACAGGCCUGGGUAACACUGAGUUGGUGCCGCUUUCUGAGCCGCCUUAAAAUAAAUAAAUCUAAAAACAACUGCGCCGGUGCGUUGGGUUGGCGCACCAAGCCAUUUGCGCAGCACUGCGCCAACUCCUAAAAAUUCAGUGAGUCACCCAGGCCUAGUCACAAUAUAUCUGCCCUAAUGUGAACACGGUUGCGUCUACUUUACAUAUGUGAUUUAUUUUACUAAUAUAAUACAAUUUUCAUAUAUUAUAA